rnacentral:rRNA from 1 species
CCUAUGGGAGACAGCAGUGAGGAAUAUUGGUCAAUGGACGAGAGUCUGAACCAGCGAAGUAGCGUGAAGGAUGACUGCCCUAUGGGUUGUAAACUUCUUUUAUAAAGGAAUAAAACGAGGCACGUGUGCCUUUUUGCACGUACUUUAUGAUUAAGGAUCGGCUAACUCCGUUCCAGCAGCCGCGGUAAUACGGAGGUUCCGUGCGUUGUCCGGAGUUAUUGGGUUUAACGGGUGCGUAGGCGGUCCGGAAAGUCAGCGGUAAAAGCCCGGGGCUCAACCCCGGCGAGCCGUGGAAACUGUCGGACUAGAGACGGCGAGAAGUACGCGGAAUGCGCGGUGUAGCGGUGAAAUGCAUAGAUAUCGGGCAGAACACCGAUUGCGAAGGCAGCGUACCGGCUCCGGACUGACGCUGAGGCACGAAAGCGUGGGUAUCGAACAGGAUUAGAUACCCGAGUAGUC